UGUUCGUUUUACACAUAUAUGUUUUGUUAAAACAACACAAAUAUAUUUAGUUUUCCGACAAAACACAAUUGUAUUGUGUUUAAUCAACUUAAAAUGUUUAAUUUUAAAUUUUACUUAAUUAUCAAUCGUUAAAGUAACGUAAAGGGUUUAAUUUCGUGAUUCAAAAAAAACCGGAAGUGACGAUUUCCAACGCAUUUGAUGACGGUGUGGAGGGGAGCAAGAGGUAUCAGUCAGGUUUGUGCAGAAUUUGAGACAUCCAGAAUUACCAUAGGCCCAUUAGAAUCAACAAUCUUUGCCAAACUUGAUUCGGACUGCAAAAUUUACGAAGAUGUUUUCAUACUGAAGAAGAGACCUUGGACAAAUACUGAAACCCUCUUGGUGCCCACUACACAGGCAGGGGUGUCCAGACCUGCUCUAGGAAAGCCAGUGUUCUGUGGGGUUCAGCUCUAACACA